rnacentral:rRNA from 1 species
UACGAGGGGGGCGAGCGUUGUUCGGAAUUAUUGGGCGUAAAGGGCGCGCAGGCGGUCACGCACGUCCGUUGUGAAAUCGCUCGGCUCAACUGGGCGGGGUCAGCGGAUACGGCGCGACUGGAGCAAGCUAGGGGGCAAUGGAAUUCCCGGUGUAGUGGUGGAAUGCGUAGAUAUCGCUUGGAACGCCGAAGGUGAAAACAGGCUGCUGGGGUUGCGCCGACGCUGAGACACGAAAGCCAGGGGAGCAAACGGG